UGAUAUACGUACAUCUGUGUGCUGCCAGGAUAUUCUUACACCAAAACAACCUUUUGUAUGUGAAACGGCAAGUGAAAUGAGACAGCGAAAAGCACCUUAUCUAACGGUAUUUAACAACUCCAAAACCACAGGAAAAGACUGUCUUCACAGACAAACUCAUCUAUGAAGAUCCUUCAACAGGAUCCCCACCUUUCGGUCACGUUUCAUGUUGCUGGCGGGCAUGAUGAAGACUUUCCUUCAAUUUGGGCAAUGGAGCUUGAAGUACUCAGAGGACGGCUGUGAGGAAACAUGGAGAAGCGCAUGGUGAUGUUGACGUGAAGAUGUCAAGAUGGAACAGAAUGCAGUUGACAGAUUGUGAGAGCUUGGAGCUUCGGCUGUUUACUUUUCCAGUGCAGCCAACCCCCUUAAGCAAUGGCACUGAAAUAAGAACAGUCUGGCUUGGGAGUAAGUAUAAAUCAUGUUGUUUGUUGUCACAAGCUAUAUGCUCCUGUGACAACUCAAAGUUUGGAUUGAAGAUCUCUGUGGAAAAUCAGUCUAAAGUCUGGGAGCUGCUGAAAUGCAGAAGUGAGGACUUGACCAUAACAUAGUCUUUUAAAAAUCCUAAAGACAGGUUGAAGUCGGAUCAGUUACCGCUCCCUUGGGUGGUAGUUCUCUGUGGAAUGUGCUGGUCUUCUAAGCUGUGACACUGGGAUGCUGGAAUGGGCACUGAGUGAUGAGGACAGGUCCUCAGGCUUUGAUAUCGGUGACGUGCUGAGAACAGCCUGUGGUUUAUGAAGUUUUCUCUCAACCGCACGAUACCCUAUGUGCUUUAGGUCUGUACGGGUGGUGGUAAUAAUGUGAAUACGAGCAAUAUGCCAACCGCUGGACACAGCUGAAUGCAAAGGGAAAGGAGGAUUUUCUGGAGAGCAGUGUCUAGGGCAGAAGACUGAUAUUUGAAAUGCUAAUAGUGGCUAGGAGCCAGCAUACUGUUAAUAGCAAACUGUUUUCUUUGGAGAGCUGUCAUACGGGAGAGUCUUGGCAAGUGACCCACCUCUGCCGUCAGUUCGGGGUCCCCAUCCCCGAGUGCUACAGAAGAGCUCUAGGAGGGAAUAUCUGCGUCUGGGGUACCUUCUCUGCCUGCUCACCACUGUGGCUAAAGUCACCAGCCCCCUCAGUGCAGGUAAGAGUGCUGUUUGCUCUGCGUCUCCUUUGAGUGAGGCUUCUGAUGGAACCAAGGCAGCAGUCUUGCCUGGGCAGAG